rnacentral:rRNA from 1 species
GACGAACGCUGGCGGCGUGCUUAACACAUGCAAGUCGAACGGAAAGGCCCUGCUUUUGUGGGGUGCUCGAGUGGCGAACGGGUGAGUAACACGUGAGUAACCUGCCCUUGACUUUGGGAUAACUUCAGGAAACUGGGGCUAAUACCGGAUAGGAGCUCCUGCUGCAUGGUGGGGGUUGGAAAGUUUCGGCGGGUGGGGAUGGACUCGCGGCUAAUCAGCUUGUUGGUGGGGUAGUGGCUUACCAAGGCUUUGACGGGUAGCCGGCCUGAGAGGGUGACCGGCCACAUUGGGACUGAGAUACGGCCCAGACUCCUACGGGAGGCAGCAGUGGGGAAUAUUGCACAAUGAGCGGAAGCCGGAUGCAGCAACGCCGCGUGCGGGAUGACGGCCUUCGGGUUGUAAACCGCUUUCGCCUGUGACGAAGCGUGAGUGACGGUAAUGGGUAAAGAAGCACCGGCUAACUACGUG